AUCAACUAAGUUUUCACUUAGUUUCAACUUAACAUUUCAAGUUGACUAACUUAAAACUGACUGAACUUUUAAAUUUUAAAGGCAGCCAGGUAACAAAUUAUUUUAAGUUGACUCAACUAAUUGUUUUUUACAGUGUAGUUUAUCUUGCUAUGAGGUGGUUGUUGUUUGAUUUUUGUUGACUUGGAUUUUAUAAAGGUACUAAAAUGAGUCAGUCAUUAGGUACAUCUACAUAAGCUACAGUUGGUUUUUGUAUGGUAAAGCUGUAGUCUACAUCUCUCUGUCUGAGUGAUUAUACAGACCCUUUGCAUCAGCCAAGCUAUAAAGAUUAGGAAAACACCACAGUGCAAUCUGCUCCAGUUAAAAUCAUUUAAAAGUAUGUUAUCCACCUACACUGAAAAAAGUGCACAAGGCAUGUCAUUACUCUAAUGAAGUUGUCAUACUUGAGCUAACUCAAAACAUUUAAUUUUCUGUCUAGCAUCAGUGUAAUGUAAAAAGUUUGGUUGAUUUAAAUUAGAAGUAAGUCUUGUUAGUGUAAAGUAAAUACAUUUCUGUAAAUUAAAUUAAAAAUAUUGGUUUCCAUUGUCUUCUAACGUCAUCCGUGGUCGUGCGUGUCGACGUUCAGCUUUCCGCCAUCUUGUUACACCGCAUGGAUGAACUCGGCGUGGUAAAACGGGAAUCAAGAAAAUUGGUAAGUAAUUUUAAACAUACGUUUGGGCUUAUUAUUAACAUUAUACAUGUAUGAUUUCAUAAAAUAUUAUGUUGUACUGUUGUUUUACAUACAGUUAGUAUUACUAGUUUGACGGCUCUAACUCGGCUAGAAGGUUUACAAGUUUCCCUCAUCACGAUGUUAAACCGAGUGGAAAUAAAAAAAUAAUAAUAAUAAUAAUAAUAAUACAAGUAAACUGCUAGAGGUGAGAUGGAUUGAUAUUGAAAUGUAGUAUAAAGACUGUUUCUGGUAUACUGGAGUGCGAUACAACAGCGUGCAUGUACUUUAUAGAUGGCACCGCCAUGUAUAACGUACAUGCACGCUUCAGACGCUUUGUAUGGACUUAACGUUGUUAUGAAGCUUUAUUAUUAUGAUGAUUUUUAUUGAUUUAUUAUGAAGCUCACGUUCGCAAGGUAUUCGCUGUCCUUACUUGUAUAGUCUCUCAUUUAUGAUUAAUGUUAACACAUAACGGUAGCUUAACCAAACAUGUCUUCAGUGAUGUGCCUAAACACUUGUUAUUUUAACGUAUUGCGUCGACCAGCUUACCCAGUAAAGAAGUCGUCUGUUUACUUUUAUGUGAGCCAGUUUGUUAUUUCUCUUUGUCUUUUGUAGGAUGGGGUACAGCUCAACAACAAUUAAGACAGGUUUUAAAUAAUCCAGUCACAUGAAAAACAUUAAUGCCGAAUUUUUGCAAAUCACGACCCUACAUUUACAGUUGAGAAUUAUGGCUUCUUUGGACAGACAGAGCUCUCAGCUUCUCCAGGUUAUUAGGAGCCAAGGUGGGGUCCUCCGUGAAAAAACGUUAAAGUUAUGGAUCAGAGUCCGGACAUAGACAUCAGAAGAGAGUGCCUGCUGAAGUGCCUGAUCAUGUACCUUCAUGUAAGAUGCAAGCUGUCUGAUCAAAGAAUACCAGGCUGACCAGAGGGAGGAAGCGGAGAGAGAAUUUGAAAAGACCACCAUGGCAUUUUUUGUGAUCCGCGAAAGUGAUGCUCUUAGUUGUGCACUGGACAUUUCCAUUGUCAUUGACGGUGUGGAAGUACUAAAUGAGUUGCCCUCUGUUGCAUGUGUCUGUGCCAUGAUCUUUGGACUCAUUUAUGCACUGAACUUAAAAUAUCCUGAAGGACUCAAAUAUACCUUUGAGGCCUUUCAAAAAAUAAUCAUGGACAUAGAGAGUAAGCAGAUGAGCCGAAGGGUGCAGAACCUCUCUUCAAAGCUGCAGGAGUACAUUUAUUUCCUUUGACCCAGCUACAAUGUUCUGCUGAUGGUAAAUUUCUUCGAAGAUGUUGGACUGUAUAAAGCCUUUUGUACAAAGUUAACUGUACUACUGUUUACUAAACCUGAUUUGUUUUAUCUUGGUUAAGUUGUGUUUUAUCUAGGGUUAGUUAAAUAGUUUACCCAAAAAUGAACAUUCUUACAUUGUUUACUCAUCCUUAAGCUAUUCAAGUAUUUAACUUCAAUUAAAUUUGGUUCAGAGACAUUUUAUGACAAUUUUUUGAUAAGUUUGAGAUAACUGAGAUAAGUUUCAUUUUGGGGUAAACUAUUCCAUUGGCUAAUUUGGUAGGUAUUUUAUUAAAAGUGUUUGGUUUUACACUGCCCAUUUUAAACCAGUUUUUGGGCCAAACUUGUUUUAACUUCAGAGGAAUUCUAAAGGUUUUAUUGUGUAGUCAGUUCUAAGUGACUGUUCAUGGAAAGAUUGCAUGUUUCUCUUUGAAAUGAUAACUGAUUCUUAUGGUGAAUUUACAUUGUAUCCAGUGUGUCUAUGUAUAUGGAUACUAAAAACUGUUAUACAGUAUGUUUUUAUAACAAUACUAUACAGAUUGUAGAAAUUUUUUAUGACAAAAAUGGUCAAGUUUAUGAUGUGUUUACAUUGUUAGUGUGUAUUGGUAUGAGAAUACUGUGCACAUUGUAAAAAAACUUGUAUUAUGACAAAAUAAAUUGUCAAAAGUU